rnacentral:rRNA from 1 species
UACGAAGGGUGCAAGCGUUAUCCGGAUUCAUUGGGUUUAAAGGGUGCGUAGGUGGGUCUGUAAGUCAGUGGUGAAAUCUCCGGGCUUAACCCGGAAAUUGCCAUUGAUACUAUAGGUCUUGAAUCAUCUGGAGGUAAGCGGAAUAUGUCAUGUAGCGGUGAAAUGCUUAGAUAUGACAUAGAACACCAAUUGCGAAGGCAGCUUACUACGGAUGCAUUGACACUGAGGCACGAAAGCGUGGGGAUCAAACAGG